UCCCAGGUGGCGCAGUGGUUAGCGCACCUGUCUAGUAAGCAGGAGAUCCUGGGUUCGAAUCCCGGUCGGGGAU